GCAUAAAUUAUGUUAACGUUUGUUUCUGAUUCCGUGGUGUCUAUUUCUGUGUAAUCUAUGAUUGUUAAUCAUAAAAUGAAUCCGUCUGAGCUAAAUUUGUCGUACCCGGGCUUUAACCUCUUACUCAGGGCUUCUGCGCUUCUGACUAGCUACAAAAUAAGGCCUGGUUUUCAUGUACCAAUCAAAAUGUACAAACAACAAUCUAAUUAUAGUUAAAAGUGC